UACGUAGGGUGCAAGCGUUGUCCGGAAUUAUUGGGCGUAAAGAGCUCGUAGGCGGUCUGUCGCGUCUGCUGUGAAAACUCAGGGCUUAACCCUGAGCUUGCAGUGGGUACGGGCAGACUAGAGUGUGGUAGGGGAGACUGGAAUUCCUGGUGUAGCGGUGAAAUGCGCAGAUAUCAGGAGGAACACCGAUGGCGAAGGCAGGUCUCUGGGCCACUACUGACGCUGAGAAGCGAAAGCGUGGGGGAGCGAACAGG
rnacentral:rRNA from 1 species